UGCAAGUCGAGCGGGGUUUUCGGACCUAGCGGCGGACGGGUGAGUAAUGCGUAGGAAGCUGCCCGAUAGAGGGGGAUACCAGUUGGAAACGACUGUUAAUACCGCAUAAUGUCUACGGACCAAAGUGUGGGACCUUCGGGCCACAUGCUAUCGGAUGCGCCUACGUGGGAUUAGCUAGUUGGUGAGGUAAUGGCUCACCAAGGCGACGAUCUCUAGCUGGUUUGAGAGGAUGAUCAGCCACACUGGAACUGAGACACGGUCCAGACUCCUACGGGAGGCAGCAGUGGGGAAUAUUGGACAAUGGGCGCAAGCCUGAUCCAGCCAUGCCGCGUGUGUGAAGAAGGCCUUCGGGUUGUAAAGCACUUUCAGCGACCA
rnacentral:rRNA from 1 species